AGAGUUUGAUCCUGGCUCAGGAUGAACGCUAGCGGUAUGCUUUACACAUGCAAGUCGUACGCAAACUUCGGUUUGAGUGGCAAACGGGUGAGUAAUACGUGAGAAUCUGCCUUUAAGAGGAGGACAACAAUUGGAAACAGUUGCUAAAACUCCAUAUGCCUUAGGGUGAAAAGUGAAAACUGCUUAAAGAGGAGCUCACGUCUGAUUAGCUAGUUGGUGAGGUAAUGGCUCACCAAGGCGACGAUCAGUAGCUGGUCUGAGAGGAUGAUCAGCCACACUGGAACUGAGACACGGUCCAGACUCCUACGGGAGGCAGCAGUGGGGAAUUUUCUGCAAUGGGCGAAAGCCUGACAGAGCAAUACCGCGUGAGGGAAGAAAGCCUACGGGUUGUAAACCUCUUUUCUCAAGGAAGAAGAUCUGACGGUACUUGAGGAAUAAGCAUCGGCUAACUCCGUGCCAGCCGCCGCGGUAAUUC
rnacentral:rRNA from 1 species